rnacentral:tRNA from 1 species
UUAAUUGAAACCAAAUUAUGGUAUGUUAUUGUUAAUAACUUUUUAGAAUUAACUUUAAAUUCCAAUUAAU